rnacentral:rRNA from 2 species
CUGGAGGUAUCAGAAGUGCGAAUGCUGACAUAAGUAACGAUAAAGCGGGUGAAAAGCCCGCUCGCCGGAAGACCAAGGGUUCCUGUCCAACGUUAAUCGGGGCAGGGUGAGUCGACCCCUAAGGCGAGGCCGAAAGGCGUAGUCGAUGGGAAACGGGUUAAUAUUCCCGUACUUGGUGUUACUGCGAAGGGGGGACGGAGAAGGCUAUGUUGGCCGGGCGACGGUUGUCCCGGUUUAAGCGUGUAGGUGUGUGUUCCAGGUAAAUCCGGUUCACUUUAACACUGAGGCGUGACGACGAGGCACUACGGUGCUGAAGCAACAAAUGCCCUGCUUCCAGGAAAAGCCUCUAAGCAUCAGGUAACAUCAAAUCGUACCCCAAACCGACACAGGUGGUCAGGUAGAGAAUACCAAGGCGCUUGAGAGAACUCGGGUGAAGGAACUAGGCAAAAUGGUGCCGUAACUUCGGGAGAAGGCACGCUGACACGUAGGUGAAGUGAUUUACUCAUGGAGCUGAAGUCAGUCGAAGAUACCAGCUGGCUGCAACUGUUUAUUAAAAACACAGCACUGUGCAAACA